UACGUAGGGUGCAAGCGUUGUCCGGAAUUAUUGGGCGUAAAGGGCUCGUAGGCGGUCCAUCGCGUCGGGAGUGAAAAGCUGGGGCUCAACCCCAGUCCUGCUUCCGAUACGGGUGGACUAGAGGUAUGCAGGGGAGAACGGAAUUCCUGGUGUAGCGGUGAAAUGCGCAGAUAUCAGGAAGAACACCCGUGGCGAAGGCGGCUCUCUGGAACGCAACUGACGCUGAGACGCGAAAGCGUGGGGAGCAAACAGG
rnacentral:rRNA from 1 species